CUCCGGGCGGAUAUCUACAGGGGACUGAAAUCGGCCGGCACAAGCUGGGGACACCUCGGGCCAGAGUAGGGUUCCUGGCAUGUGAGAAAAAGGUGCAAGAAGUCUGAUGAGUAGGACAAGAACCGUUAGGUCUUUAGCUUUUCCAAGUUCCUAACCCAGAGCCAAGUGUGCUGGUACACACCUGAAAUCCCAGAGCUCAGAGACAGGUAGACAGCAGGAAAUAGUUCAAGGCCAACUGAUCCGAUAAGUAAUAAUACCCCACCUCACCCCUUACUCCCCUCCUGCCCCCAAUAUCCCACCUCACCCCUUACUCCCCUCCUGCCCCAAAAGCGAGCCAAAGUUCCUCCGCCUGCCGAUUGCUUCUGCACUGCAAAUUGUGACAUCAGUCUGCUCUCUAUACGUCCUCUGAGACCCCCUUCUCUUAUCACACUCUUUCUCUCUCUACACUUUUCUGCCUCUCUAUCCAUUCCUCGAUUCUAUGUCUUCUUCAACUUCUCCCUUUCUUCUUUUAUCUCUCCCAACUACUCUCCCCUGUAGGGAGAAGGGCUACCUGUUAGAGUACAGUUUCCCUCCUGCAUCUCUGCUAGGGUUGGGGUGUGGUGAGGGAGGUGGAAAACUACCUGAACCUCACUUUGGAAGCUGAUGACGCUUACUUACCUUUUCCGUCCCCGUGGGGACUUUGACUGUCCUCGGGAGCCUCAACAGUGGGUAGAUCCUCUAACUUCGGGGGAUCCUCCUUUUUGGCUUUGGCGUUAACUUCAGGUGGAUCCUCCCUACCAGACUGACCCGCCUCCCCAGGUGCAUCUUCCUUACUGGGCAGAUCCUCCACGCCCAGAUCAUCCUCUCCAGAUGAACUCUCUCCCAAGGAGGGCUCCCCCUGCAUUCCGGACAGGCCCUGGGGAUGAGCAGAUACCAGGAGCAGCAGAAAGAACAGCGGCGCAGUAGGGGCUGGGAUCAACAAAGAGGGCCGGGGGCCGGGGCCCAGGGAAGCCAUGCGACUGACUGGGGUGUCCCAGGACACGGUGUGGUGUACGGGCUGUACGUGCAUCGGAAAUAGGAGCUGGGUGGGGGGAGGAGCAAGCCUUGAGGGGAGCAGGCUGACUCACAGAAUGCCCUUUUGUAGAGAUGGAGCCAAAGUCCUACAGGUUUGCCUGGCCCCGUGCCCCCUGCCCGAUACCAAAGCCUGGACACAGGUCGGGUAAGAGGCAGGGUUGGGGUAAGAGGCAGGUGUGGUCACAGGCAGAAGGUUCUCUGGAUCACCAGCUCAGCUUGGAGCCCAAGGCACCACCUGGCACUGUAUAGGUUCUCCGUGGCACCACCCGGCUUCUGCCCGCCAGUCUCUGCUAGGCCUGGCCUGCUUCCCAGCCUCGGCAGAGAAGAGGAAAGAAGGCAGCUGGGGCCCCCAUGCAGUUGGGCUGAGGAGACAAGAAACUCGUGUAUAAAUCCUGCCUCAGUGAGGUCUCCGUUAAAGGGGCAGGUCUGCAAAACCUCACCCAAGACACCAUUAAGUCUUGUCUCUUGCUUUCCCCCUAAUGUUCCAGUCAGAUUACUCAUUUGUGUGCACUUUUUUGCUCUCCUGCCCUUUGUCCUUGUUUUUUAGUGAUGGAGACUAAAUCCAGACAAGUACUCAUCCAUUGAGCUUCACUCCCAGCCCUAAAAUACUCAUUUCUUUUUCUCCAAACUUUUUACUGCCUUUUUAAAUCUAAGUCUCGGUGCCAAGAAUGCCACUCAUAUUUGCAUUCUGUAUCAGUACCUACAGCACGCUAGGCUGUGGACUAGGGAUACGGAAAUCCAUAUCUGAGGAGCUCUCACUCCAGUGAGGACAAAUAUUAUCUCAAUUCUGCUGCAAGAAAGUAUGGAAGUAGGCAAAAUCUGACCCCACCUUUGAAGAAGAGGUAGGAGCUCCAUGGGGAGGUAGGUGGCUAUCACAGUAAGGAGAAUCGUACUCUGGGCAAAAGAGAGGCAUGGAAUAUUUUGAACAGAGGCUGUCCAGAUGGCUCAGUGGGUAAAGGCACUUGCCACCAAAUCUGAUGAUCUGAGUUGGGUCCCCAGAAUUGACAUGGUGGAAAGAGAGAACCCUCUGUCUCCCAUGUGUGCCAUGGCACAUGAACGUGUGCAAACACACACAUAACAAAUAAAGAGAGGUAAAAAGAAAUAUUUUGAAGAGGGUGACAGAAUCCAGUUUUUAUAUUAGGCCCCCAGUCUGUCCAUUUAAUGCACAUUUACUGAGUCUCCUCUAAUCUUCCUGAUAUUGCUACUGUUCCCAAGCAUGCAGCAUAGACAGAGGACAACGUUUAGUUCUGAAGCUCACAUUCUCAGGAGAUCCCCAUGGCCUCAACAAAUGACAAAAGAAUAAGGCCAUUUUGUGCCUGUAUCUAAGAUUAUUCAGUGAACAAUCAGCAGGGUAACUGUAUAGGUUAAUUGAAUGCAUCGAGUUAGUUUUAAUUCUGUAGCAUACAGCCAUAUCCCAUGGCUCCAGGUAAUGGCUAUCCCAGCGUCUCUUUGAGAACCUUCUAGAUGAUUCCUGAUCUAAAGGUUAAUGCCUAAUACAGAAGAGUCCAAGUAACCUCAUCUGAGGGACCCAAUCAGGUUUAACUUUGGCUAUUUAUGUUGUAAACCAUCAUGGUGUUAAAUGUUUUUUAUUAUCUUACUUUUCUAAAUCCUGUCUGUUCUGACUCAGAUCCCAGACAGCUUCUCCAGGAUUUUUUUUUUUUUUUUUUUUUUUU